GAUUAUUGUUAUUAUACUUACAUUACUGGUGUUUACUAGUAGUCCUUUCAAUAUGGUGGAGACUCGCAUGUCAAUGCUCUAACUGUGAGAUUUAUAGGACUGAUAGUUUUAAUACCCGUGAUUUGCCUUAAAUUACAACUUAUUUACCAGUACUGAAAGGAAUCUAAUCCCAAUUAAAUAGAAAAAAUACAGAGGGUUCAUUGCUAGGAAUUCUGGGUAACUUUCUGCAUUCCCUAAGGUUACCUUAAGGUUACAGGUGAAGCCGAUCCAACUCGUUUUGGAUUGAUGCCUAGCUCAUUGAUUGAUCUAUCAGGAUGUAAUUCUUCCAUCCCAAGAUCAUCAGUUCAUUAAUUUUAUCAAGUUCUUCUUGCUUAGCGGGCAAAGCGCUCGAAAUUUGCACCCAAGGAUGUGGCUUAGUGGUCAAUUACGUAGACUAGACACCAUGAAGUCUUACGUUCAAUUGACAAAACACUAAGUGAUUUCUUUCCAUUUGCUCUAGCCUUGGUGGACAGAGUUAUCAGCGCGUAAGUUGGACCGACACCAAGGGUAUCAGGAAAUCUCCAACAACAAACAACAUCUGCGGUGCUCGAACUCGUCAAAAAUGUCACGGGGUGCGUGUCAGAUCCUUUAAAAGUAGCUUAUUUUUUACACGGUUUUGGAGAGUUGGAGCAACUUAGAACAACAUAACCCCAUUUAAGGUGAACACUAGUAUUUAAUAUCUUGUAUAAAUUGCAGGAUUAGGUGCGGUAUAAACCCAUAAUCACGUACAGCUAGCUCAAAUUAAAUAAGGGAUAAGGAUAGAUAGUUCAUACUCUUUAGAAAGAAUGGUAAUGAUCUCGAAAAGGACAAGUUGAAAAAGAUUGCAAGAGAAAGAGAAAACAACACUGAAGAUGAUCUGAACAAGUACUCUCUUCUCUUCAUACUCUUUGUACAAUCUGCGAUUCAAGAACCAUAAACAUGUCCAAUCCAGUAAGGAUAAUGAUCCAACUGCAGUUACUCCUUCUACAAGGCCGUUAGACUCCACAUUUCAGCAUUUCAGUAUCAAACAAUGAUGAAGAUCAACUACCAUGUAUUUGGCACCAACUUGCUUCACAAUACUUGUCUUUUCAACAGAAAAGAAAAUCACCUAAAUCUACCGUCUUCUUGCUAUUGAGAUUUGAUUUUGUUUAGUUUUUGUGAUACUCAGAUUUUUGGGAAGGGGAAAAGAGAGAUUUUCUCAAAAG